UGCAACAAGGUCAUCAAAGCAAUUUGUGUUUGUCCUGCAUCACCAGGAAGAACUGGUGGCAUGGGGAGAAAGACUGCUACCGUGAGAGAAUUAUUAGAGGAUGCUUCAUGCUCUGAUGUGGACCUUUUCUUAUCCAAUUGUGAUUAUCUCAAUGGGAAGAUCACAAGGAGAAUUUCUGACCAGUUCGGCGUUGUCACCUCUUUGCAUUUGACCAAGCCUAUAAAACAGUGGCCACAGAAACGUGUUGGUGUUGACUGCUGCCGUACCUGCUGUCUUCCCUAAUCAGUGCCUUGUAACCCUAAGAACGACUUCCUGGUCUUCAGAAGAGGAAGACAGACAGAAGACAAAAAAGGCAAACUUGCAGAUUUCUUUUCAAGGUAGAUAAACCAGUCUUGUCAAUCAGAAGCUCUUUUUUUCCCUACUUGCAAGGGAAAAUGGCCAUUAUUCUAGUAGGCCAAAGGACAAAGUGGUGCCCACAAGCAUUAUUUCCAUUAAACAGGGCAGAUUCAGUCUUCUGCCACUGGGUCGGUCCAGGUGCACCUGACAAACCUGAUGAUGCUCCAGUGGAGAUGAAGGUGGCACACUCAUCAUCGCCUCAGCCACAAAUGAAACUCCUAAACUCUUGAUGGGCACCAUGAGGUCACAUCCAGCAGUUGCUCCGGUAUCUCCUCUCCUUAUCCUGAUGAUUCCCAUCCUGAAUGAUUCCGGGCCUACUAAAACGAUGAGAAGCUCCGCUCAUAACAGAGCGACGUGGCUCUCUGAUGUCCGUAUCCAAUGGAUGGGCGUUUGCAACUGGAAAGAACUAUCAUGUGUGCUCUGAAACAGAAAAUUUGUGGGAAUGUGUCCUUGGAGAUUGGUCCUCGGAGAGCAAUCUAAAACAACAUAAAUACCUCAUGGUAAUACCAGGUUUUGCAGCAGGGGCAAGACGUUAGGACAACAGGCAAUACUCAACAAGGGAAGUACGACUGUUCCUACCAUGGGAUCCAGAGGAUGGAAGUCCAAGGCAGGUUGGAAUGGACUGAGCAUU